AAUAUUGAACAAAGGGGGCAACCCUGAUCCAGCUAUGCCGCGAGUGUGAAGAAGGUCUUCGGAUUUUAAACCACUUUAAGCUGGGAGGAAGGGCUUUAGUUUAAUACCCAGAAGUUUUGACGUUACCAACAGACUACGCACCGGCUAACUCUGUGCCAGCAGCCGCGGUAAUACAGAGUGUGCAAGCGUUAAUCGGAAUUACUGGGCGUAAAGCGCGCGUAGGUGGUUCAGUAAGAUGGGUGUGAAAUCCCCGGGCUUAACCUGGGAACUGCUUUCAUAACUGCUGAGCUAGAGUACGGUAGAGGGUAAUGGAAUUUCCUGUGUAGCGGUGAAAUGCGUAGAUAUAGGAAGGAACACCAGUGGCGAAGGCGACUACCUGGACUGAUACUGACACUGAGGUGCGAAAGCGUGGGGAGCAAACA
rnacentral:rRNA from 1 species